CAUCAAAAAUGCUGUUUCUGAGGUAAAACCAAGAAAUGCAGAGGAAUUGUGGAAUGUUGUCUAGUGGUCCUGGGCUGGAAUAUCUCAUGCACUGGGACUUGCCAGGU